AACGAACGCUGGCGGCAGGCUUAACGCAUGCAAGUCGAACGCACCUUUCGGGGUGAGUGGCAGACGGGUGAGUAACGCGUGGGAAUCUACCCUUCUCUACGGGAUAGCUCCGGGAAACUGGAAUUAAUACCGUAUACGUCCUGAGGGAGAAAGAUUUAUCGGGGAAGGAUGAGCCCGCGUUGGAUUAGCUAGUUGGUGGGGUAAAGGCCUACCAAGGCGACGAUCCAUAGCUGGUCUAAGAGGAUGAUCAGCCACAUUGGGACUGAGACACGGCCCAAACUCCUACGGGAGGCAGCAGUGGGGAAUAUUGGACAAUGGGCGCAAGCCUGAUCCAGCCAUGCCGCGUGAGUGAUGAAGGCCCUAGGGUUGUAAAGCUCUUUCAGUGGGGACGAUAAUGACGGUACCCACAGAAGAAGCCCCGGCUAACUUCGUG
rnacentral:rRNA from 1 species